AUUUACAUGAGGACAACCUGAUUUCAAGGAAAUAAAAAUGCUUAAAUUUGAAAGUUUGUGAGUUAUUUUGUUCAUGUAUCAGCUGUUUAGUCGUUUUAUGACAAGAUGGAUGCUGUCGUUAUAUUUUAGUAUAGUGUUUGAGUUAAGGAGAAUAAAAGAAUAUUUAACAUUAAUUGUACCAAUGUUGUUGUGUACGAAGCACAAAUUAAUUUAAAAAGUUUUAAUUUAUGAAUUUUUGAGCAUAUGGUGUACUAGGUUGUAAUUGCAUAGAAAUGUACAUUUAAGAAUAUAAAGAACUAUAUUUAAUGAGUUACAGUGAAAAGAAGUGCUUGGAAAUAGUAAUAUAAACAGAAAUUUCAAUUUUUCUAUUAACGGAAAAUAUCAGUUAAUGAUACAGAAAAUAUA